rnacentral:rRNA from 1 species
GACGAACGCUGGCGGCGUGCUUAACACAUGCAAGUCGAACGGAAAGGCCCUGCUUUUGUGGGGUGCUCGAGUGGCGAACGGGUGAGUAACACGUGAGUAACCUGCCCUUGACUUUGGGAUAACUUCAGGAAGCUGGGGCUAAUACCGGAUAGGAGCUCCUGCUGCAUGGUGGGGGUUGGAAAGUUUCGGCGGUUGGGGAUGGACUCUCGGCUUAUCAGCUUGUUGGUGGGGUAGUGGCUUACCAAGGCUUUGACGGGUAGCCGGCCUGAGAGGGUGACCGGCCACAUUGGGACUGAGAUACGGCCCAGACUCCUACGGGAGGCAGCAGUGGGGAAUAUUGCACAAUGGGCGGAAGCCUGAUGCAGCAACGCCGCGUGCGGGAUGACGGCCUUCGGGUUGUAAACCGCUUUCGCCUGUGACGAAGCGUGAGUGACGGUAAUGGGUAAAGAAGCACCGGCUAACUACGUG